CAGCCGCCGCGGUAAUACGUAGGGUGCAAGCGUUAAUCGGAAUUACUGGGCGUAAAGCGUGCGCAGGCGGUUUGUUAAGACAGAUGUGAAAUCCCCGGGCUCAACCUGGGAACUGCAUUUGUGACUGGCGGGCUAGAGUAUGGCAGAGGGGGGUAGAAUUCCACGCGUAGCAGUGAAAUGCGUAGAGAUGUGGAGGAAUACCGAUGGCGAAGGCAGCCCCCUGGGCCAAUACUGACGCUCAUGCACGAAAGCGUGGGGAGCAAACAGGAUUAGAUACCCCGGUAGUCCCUGUCUCUUAUAC
rnacentral:rRNA from 1 species